UAUCUAUUUCAACUACCGAAUGUUCUGUAAUAAAACGCAUUUAAUAAAAACAACAUUUUCUCCGCUACAUAGUGACAAAAACUUUGUAAUUUUAUCUUUUGAAAACGGUGUUGAUAGUGUUUCCAUUAUAAUGCGUCGGUGAUUAUUUUCAACAACGUAGACUAAAGAUUUUAAAACUGAUAACCUUAUCGUGGGUGUGUUCAGAACGAUAGUUUACAGAUAGAUCACUGCAGUGUAUUUAAUAUUAUCACUAAAGGCACAGAUUGCUAGCAUACUGUUUUGUAGCUACAAGUUAACUGCUCCAACCAACAACCCAUUACAUUAAAAAUCGAUAUAACAUUUUGAUCGUUCCAAAAAAUCUUUUGGCGAUAACUCCAAAAUGUUGAGUUUUAUCCGGGAACGCAUCUCACACCCUCUGACCACACCCGACGAUGUAAACCUCCUCCUACUGGGCGAAACAGGCGCCGGAAAAUCGACUUUGAUAAAUUCCAUUUCGAAUUAUUUCAAUUAUCCCAACUUUAAGGAAGCGCAAAACGAGAAAAUCGAUAUUUUAAUUCCCGUGUUUUUAAACGCACCGGAAAGUAUCAAUGGUUCUGGUCAAAAUAGGAACAAACUCCACGGAGAGAUCAAAUGUGCCACUCAGUACCGCAAAGUGUACCAAUUCCCCAUCGAAAUGGACGACAAAACCUUUUACUUAAGAUUGGUUGAUACGCCGGGAAUUGAGGAUCGCAGAGGAAUGGAACAAAACAAUCUUAUUCUAGACAAUAUCCUUGCGUACUUGAAAAGGCAGGGGAAACUCCACGCGAUUUGUUUGGUUUUGAAAGCGAAUCAGACCCGAAUCACAAAUUCCGUGGAGUACUAUCUGAAAUAUACCGGGCAUUUUUUUUAAAACUGAACAUAGGCCUAUGUUCAGUUUUAAAACAACGCUGUCAACGCAAUGGAGUUGUUGUAAUGUUGGUUGCAAUACAGUUGCAAUUGACUGCGUCGUUUUAAAACUGAACAUAGGCCUAUGUUCAGUUUAAAAAAAAAAUGCCCGGUAUAUUAACACGACUAGAUGAACGCCCCAGCCAGAACAUUAUUUUUAUUACUACUUAUAGUAAAGCGGCUGGUUACACAUCUGGCGAGACGAAGCAUCACUGUCUGAUACCACUGGUUAAAAAUAUACAGUCAAAACCCCCACAUGUGAGUAUUCCUUUAAGCGAUAAUAACAUCUUUGCUGUGGACAACGAAGCAUUCAACGCCUUGUUGGAGAUGCGAGAUGGAAAUUAUUACCAUCAACAAAAGCAAUGGAAGGUUUCGAGCAAAGCUGGAAUGUCUCGUCAAAGGAAAUUCAACGAUUAUUGAGGUAUAUAGUUGGAGGUUGUAGAAACGCGCUUUUGGGAACCCGUGUGAUUGAAAGUAUUAACUCUCAAGUGGGUAGCCGUCCAACCACAGUUGACGAGAUAAACCUUCUCCUCUUGGGCCAAACCGGAAUCGGAAAAUCCACUUUGAUCAACUCCAUUUCGAAUUAUUUCAUUUAUCCCAACUUCAAAGAAGCGCAAAAAGGGAAAAUCGAUAUUUUAAUACCAAUACGGUUACGAUUAACGGAAGAUUCAAGUCAAUAUGCCACUCAAUGUGUCAAAAUGUAUCCAUUCCCCAUUGUAAUAGGCCAGAAAAUCUUUAACCUGAGACUGAUUGACAUCCUAGUCUUGUUGAUGAACAUCCUACUAAAUCGUCCAGAAAGGAGUGCAGUACGAAAGAAAAGGGUUCUAAAAAUCAGAAGAAGCUCAAAUCUGAGGACGAAAGUUGUGACUCGGAUGAUAAACGUUCGGUCAGAUCUUCCAGCGAUCUUGAAACCAAAAACGUCCCUAGUUCAGAUGAAACAAGUUUCGAAGCAGUUGAAAACGAAGAAUGAUGUGUGGACGUUUUAAGUUUAGAAAAUGCUUUGUAGCACGCUGUAGUAAACAUUAAAGCUUUGACAGUUUUUUAUUUUACCGAAUUGCCAAAACGUCCAUAACUAUUAAGCUUUUUGUGACUAAAUUUUCUUUUUUUUUUUCCAGAAAACAUCAAUCAGUAGCAAAGUUUUGAUUUUGGUUUAAAGUAUGACAGUCUUCAAUUUACUUCUGCUUGGUGAGAGUGGGGUUGGAAAAACAACUUUCAUCAAUUCUCUUAUCAACUACUUUCGGUACGACAACAACAUAGAUGCUGCUGUCAUGAAUACGGCCAUAGUGGCAGCACCAAUAUCGUUCUCCAUAAUCGAUGCAAAUAACAAAGAUGUAUCUCUUUCCUUAAACGCAAACAUUGAUGGAGUAUAUAAUGUUAAAACUAACACAAGGGCGAAAGAGUACUUAGUCCCGAUAAAUGGACAUCAGUUAAGGCUCAUAGACACCCCAGGAUUUGAUAUGUCGAAACAUGAGCAAAACCAAUUUAAAAAUAUCUUCCAACAACUUGGUCAUCUACAAGAGCUGCACGCAGUUUGCUUUUUUCUAAGAUCAUCGGAUCUGCAACUAGUUUCAGUCGGAAACCUGAUAAGACAAACCAUGGCAAAUUUAGACAUAGCCGCUGUCAAAAAUUUUAUUUUUAUUUUCACUGAAGGCAGAAAAGUUACCUCUUAUCCUACCGUUGCAAAGAGUGCUUUAAGGAAAAUUGUACAUACAAUCAAAUCGUCAUCACCUCAAAUUAACAUUCCCUUACAUAACGACAACGUGUACUGUGUGGACAAUCAUUUGGUGGCAUACAAGUGUGGCACAAGUUUAAGUUCAAAAGAUACGUAUUAAACUGAGUCCAGCUGGAAAUCUUCACUAAAAGAAUGUAAACGACUGCUCGACUAUGUUAGUAAAUUGAAACCGUUUCAACUUCCGGUUGAUGGUGCGGUUGAAGCGAUUCAAACACUUCUCAAGGAAAAUUCGCCUCGCUUACUGGACAUAAUUGAGUCCAAUUCCCAGAAUUUAGAAGUGCGAAAAACUCGUAGAGGAUUCGAAAGCAGUGUGUCAGUUGGUUGAAGCCAUGAAACGAUCAAUUGAACAGCAUGAAGGACAGACAAGCAAAUGAUUAUAGAAAGCAGAAUGAAGACAAUCGCGUAACUUAUGCGAAUAUUGAUUUUAGCAAAAAUGCGGUAAAUGUAUAGAAGUAAAUUGGAAAAAUUUGUACUUUUGUGGUUUAAGGCACCGCUAAUAGAACACCAUGUUGAUAGUGAUAAAAAACAAACCUAAAAAAGACAGCAAUUAUACUGAAAAAACACAAAGAAAUUAUCACAAAUGCACAUAAAGUAGUUGAUGCGCAACAGGAGGAAAUUCGUAAGACUUUAGAAAAUUUUGCUACAAUUGCUACGUUUUUGGAAAAGUGUGGCUUAUAUGACAGUUUAGGUGAGGAAAUUGCUUCCGCAUUGUCUUCUACAAGGAAAAAUGAGAUCGAUAGAGUUAUAAAAAUGUUAAAAGCACUGCAACUGGGCUACGGACGGAUGAAAGGAGACGUGAGAAGAAAGUCAAAUACUGAGGUGAAGAAGGACGAUGUAGUGACGAUCGUGACAGAACUCGAAAAACUUCAACAUUACCAGGAUGUCCUCGAUAAAAUAUUUAACAAUUAGUAUUUUAAGCAUUUUUUGAUUAAAUUGUACAUUCUAUUGUGUUAGAGUUCGUCACAAAAUUUCACUUCUUCAUUUUAGUUGGACUGCGUGCAGUCUUCGUCUUUGUAAAACUUUUAUACCGUGAAGUUUUUUUUUCUCUGAGCAUAGUAUGUUGGGUUGCAUAUCCAUCCUCCAAUGGAUUGAUUUGGACUUUUAAAAACUGAACAUAGUAUCACAUAAGAUUCGUCAUAAUUGACGAGUAGGCCAUGUCAACGAUGACAUUUACAGUAAAAUGUUUAACGAUUUUUUUUUUUUUAAAAGAUCAAUAACGUAAAUUUUCUGUUCUUUAAACUUGUACUUAUUACAAUACCUUAACAUGAAGACAGUGCCAAAUGUCAAUGGCAAUAUCUUUGACAAUCUAUUACAAGCAGGUAUGCAACCAACUUAACAUUGAUCCUAUGUAUGUCCUAUGUUCAAAGAAAAAAAAACCUCAUGGUAUAUCUAAAGGCAAUGAAUAAAUGAAUUACACCAAA